rnacentral:rRNA from 1 species
UACGUAGGGGGCUAGCGUUGUCCGGAAUCAUUGGGCGUAAAGCGCGUGUAGGCGGUCCGGUAAGUCCGCUGUGAAAGUCGGGGGCUCAACCCUCGAAUGCCGGUGGAUACUGUCGGGCUCGAGUGCGGGAGAGGCGAGUGGAAUUCCUGGUGUAGCGGUGAAAUGCGCAGAUAUCAGGAGGAACACCGAUUGCGAAGGCAGCUCGCUGGAACGUUACUGACGCUGAGACACGAAAGCGUGGGGAGCAAACAGG